rnacentral:misc_RNA from 1 species
UACGUAGGGGGCGAGCGUUGUCCGGAAUUAUUGGGCGUAAAGCGCACGCAGGCGGUCCUUUAAGUCUGAUGUGAAAGCCCACGGCUUAACCGUGGAGGGUCAUUGGAAACUGGGGGACUUGAGUGCAGAAGAGGAGAGUGGAAUUCCAUGUGGAGCGGUGAAAUGCGUAGAGAUAUGGAGGAACACCAGUGGCGAAGGCGACUCUCUGGUCUGUAACUGACGCUGAGGUGCGAAAGCGUGGGGAGCGAACAGG